rnacentral:rRNA from 1 species
GUGAACGCUGGCGGUAGGCCUAACACAUGCAAGUCGAACGGCAGCACAGUAAGAGCUUGCUCUUACGGGUGGCGAGUGGCGGACGGGUGAGGAAUACAUCGGAAUCUAAUUUUUCGUGGGGGAUAACGUAGGGAAACUUACGCUAAUACCGCAUACGACCUACGGGUGAAAGCAGGGGAUCUUCGGACCUUGCGCGAUUGAAUGAGCCGAUGUCGGAUUAGAUAGUUGGCGGGGUAAAGGCCCACCAAGGCGACGAUGCGUAGCCGGUCUGAGAGGAUGAUCCGCCACACUGGAACUGAGAAACGGGCCCGAAUCCCAAGGGAGGCAGGCGUGGGGAAUUUUUGGCAAAGGGCGAAAGCCCGACGCAGCCCAGCCCCGUGGGUGAAAAAGGUCUUCGGGUUUUAAAACCCUUUUUUUGGGGAAAAAAAAAUGGGUAGGUAAAUCCCCCCGUUUUGACGGGAACCAAUAAGAAAGCCACGGGUAAAUUCGUG